rnacentral:lncRNA from 12 species
UGCGUCCACCCUUGGCCAUUGAGAGAAGGUUCCUGGGCCUUCAUUCAGCCUCUCCGUAGCUUCCUUUUACUGAGAAAUGUUACACGUCCUACCCUCUCAUUUCCCCGGCGCAACAGGUCGGCGGCGGGCCUCGGCGGGCAGAGCCUAACAGACCAUCUGCUGACAGGCUAACAGGAAGAGAUGAGGAGCGGGUCCUGGAGGCAGAUUUAGACGCUCAGAACACGGAGAGCUCGGGAAGAUUCCACACCGGGCGAACCCGGCCUCCCUCGGAGCGCGCGGCCUGUGCCCGUUUCCGCGGACGCGCGUGAAGAACAUGGCACCUGGGCUCCGCGGGUCCAGACUUGCUGCGGACCCUUAGCCAUGUGCUCUGUGCGAUGGGUGCUGCCUCGGUUUCUCCAGGAGGCACUGCAUCUCUGAUGACUCCUGAUCGCAGAGACAUGGCUCCGCUCUUCCUCCCACUCCUGGUACCCAUGCCUGUACUCACACACGCCCCUCGACAAGGACACCAGCCUGGGGUGGGGCCCAUCCUGAGGUCGUCACUGCAGCCCCACUAAUCACAAAUACAGCGCAAGAGGUUGUGUGAAUGUCCAAAACGGGAAAGCGGACCCUGCCUAUGUGGCUGUUGCUUUCAGCUCUGUCUCCCUCCACCCCCCGAAAUCCAAACUGGUAAAGCCCUUGCCGUCUGACCUUUCUGCUACUUACCCACCAUGGUCCCUAGGAAAGUGCCAAUGAGGGACUGACUCAAGCACGUCCGACUGUCAGUCCGUGCCUUCCAGUAAGGCAUGGGUUUGUGAUAAGUGCCUGAUAGUCAUCGGCGGGUGCCCAGCCUCCAGGAAGGGUCCUCGGUGGCUGUGGGCAAGGGGUAGGGAGAUUUUGGCGAUCAAGAUAAAGAAAGGGAACCCACCACUCGAGGUAGAAACGGUGGUGCCCAGGGCCACCGGAACCGAGGAAGGGCUUCUCCAGAGAAGUGCCAUGCGCCUCCAGACAGCAACGGGCCCAGCCCACACGGCACCUCCUUCAAGACCAUGAUUUUUUUUAUCUGAAGAAGACACAUAUCAUGACAACUUGAAAAAAAGAAACCACCAGAAAUUAGAACCACGGUAACAAAGCUAUUCUGUGCUCAGUGCACUACGAAAUGCAUUUGCCACUUGCUCUGGUUUCCAGCUCCAUGCCAGUUCCGUGAGCGGAGGAGCCAGCUUUUGUUGAUUUGUCAAGACAUUCUUCACAAGUGCAGGGAUCAUAAUAGAAGUGAUUGAUAUUCAUGUGCUGCC